rnacentral:rRNA from 1 species
CGUGUUGGAUAUGACUUAGUGGCGGACGGGCGAGUAACGCGUGAGCAACCUGCCUUUCAGUGGGGGACAACAGUUGGAAACGACUGCUAAUACCGCAUAAUGCAUUUUGACCGCAUGAUCGAGAUGCCAAAGAUUUAUUGCUGAAAGAUGGGGAUGCGUCUGAUUAGCUUGUUGGUGGGGUAACGGCCCACCAAGGCGACGAUCAGUAGCCGGCCUGAGAGGGUGAACGGCCACAUUGGGACUGAGACACGGCCCAGACUCC